rnacentral:rRNA from 1 species
AAUGGGGGCAACCCUGAUCCAGCCAUGCCGCGUGAGUGAAGAAGGCCUUCGGGUUGUAAAGCUCUUUCGCGAGGGAAGAAAGCGCAGCGGUUAAUACCCGUUGUGUAUGACGGUACCUUGAUAAGAAGCACCGGCUAACUACGUGCCAGCAGCCGCGGUAAUACGUAGGGUGCGAGCGUUAAUCGGAAUUACUGGGCGUAAAGCGUGCGCAGGCGGUUUUUUAAGACAGGCGUGAAAUCCCCGGGCUCAACCUGGGAAUGGCGCUUGUGACUGGAAGGCUAGAGUACGGCAGAGGGGGGUAGAAUUCCACGUGUAGCAGUGAAAUGCGUAGAGAUGUGGAGGAAUACCGAUGGCGAAGGCAGCCCCCUGGGCCGAUACUGACGCUCAUGCACGAAAGCGUGGGGAGCAAA